UACGGAGGGGGCUAGCGUUGUCCGAGGUUACUGGGCGUAAAGCGCGCGUAGGCGGGUUGGUAAGUCCGCUGUGAAAGCCCGGAGCUCAACUCCGGAACUGCCUUUUAGACUGCAUCGCUUGAAUCCAGGAGAGGUGAGUGGAAUUCCGAGUGUAGAGGUGAAAUUCGUAGAUAUUCGGAAGAACACCAGUGGCGAAGGCGGCUCACUGGACUGGUAUUGACGCUGAGGUGCGAAAGCGUGGGGGGCAAACAGG
rnacentral:rRNA from 1 species